rnacentral:tRNA from 1 species
UAGGAAAUAAUAUANAGGAAGUAUGGAGGAUUUUGAUUCCUNCUGUGUAGGUUCGAUUCCUGCUUUUCUAA